rnacentral:rRNA from 1 species
AUUGAACGCUGGCGGCAGGCCUAACACAUGCAAGUCGAGCGGAUGAAGGGAGCUUGCUCCUGGAUUCAGCGGCGGACGGGUGAGUAAUGCCUAGGAAUCUGCCUGGUAGUGGGGGCUAACGUCCGGAAACGGGCGCUAAUACCGCAUACGUCCUGAGGGAGAAAGUGGGGGAUCUUCGGACCUCACGCUACCAGAUGAGCCUAGGUCGGAUUAGCUAGUUGGUGGGGUAAAGGCCUACCAAGGCGACGAUCCGUAACUGAUCUGAGAGGAUGAUCAGUCACACUGGAACUGAGACACGGUCCAGACUCCUACGGGAGGCAGCAGUGGGGAAUAUUGGACAAUGGGCGAAAGCCUGAUCCAGCCAUGCCGCGUGUGUGAAGAAGGUCUUCGGAUUGUAAAGCACUUUAAGUUGGGAGGAAGGGCAGUAAGUUAAUACCUUGCUGUUUUGACGUUACCAACAGAAUAAGCACCGGCUAACUUCGUG